CACGUCUGACUUCUGUCGGGCUACAAGCGUACCGCUCAUCAUGGACACGCCACGCCCCGUCUGUCUAUGUCAUAAAUGACCUGGUGAGUCUAAAAUCUGGUCCAGGACAAAGACCGUAUCUUCUCCCCACAUCUCCCAACACCCACCCUGGGGUCCAGACUAAGUCAACAUACAGAGCCUAGGGACAUGGCUCUCUUGGCAGAGCGUUUGCCUAGCGUGAGCAAAGCCCCGGAUUCAAUCCCCAGUGCUGCAUAAAACCAGGCACGGUGGAAUACGCCUGUAAUCCAAGCACUCGGGAGGUGGAGGCCGGGAGGCUCGGAAGUUUAAGGUCACCCUCUAAUGCAUGAGUGUGAGGCCAGCUGAGCUGCGUGAGGCCCUGUCUAAAACAAAAUCAGCACUGUUUUAUAUUGAAUGGGACAGAAGUGCAGGAGACGUCGGGGUGGCAGGGACUUGAAGCAUCCAGUGAUACGACAUCCACAGAGUUCGGGUCCUAACAGCCACAUAACAAGCCAGGUGCCCUGGACAUCCUGUGACACCAGCUCCCAGUUCAGAACCCCCUACCCAGGAAAUGGUGCUGCCCGUGAUGGGCUGGGUCAACUAGCAAGCAACUUGCACAGACAGGUCCAACAUCCGAAGACCAUUCUGAUCCGGACAGUUUCUCGCCGAGCCCUCCUUCCCAGGCACACCAUGUCAAGUUGACACCAGAACCAGCGUCUCUGCCUGGAAGAGCAUGUUGUGCAGCCGCAUGUGGUGCAUCUUGCCUUAACAAUGAACUUGUGGCAUUGGCCACACCCUUGGGCGUGGUUUCAGGUGCAGGUGUGACCCCUUAAAGAGAGAGGAGCUGCCGCAAGCGCUAUUGAGACUGCAUCUUCUGGAAAAGGAAGACCACGGUGGUUAUUUACUAUUAUCUGUGUAAGUGCUUCCCUAAUAAACACCUAUUCAUCAUU